AUUGAACGCUGGCGGCAUGCUUUACACAUGCAAGUCGAACGGUAACAGGCCGCAAGGUGCUGACGAGUGGCGAACGGGUGAGUAAUGCAUCGGAACGUGCCCAGUCGUGGGGGAUAACGCAGCGAAAGCUGGGCUAAUACCGCAUACGAUCUGUGGAUGAAAGCGGGGGACCGAAAGGCCUCGCGCGAUUGGAGCGGCCGAUGUCAGGUUAGGUAGUUGGUGGGGUAAAGGCCCACCAAGCCAAAGAUCUGUAGCUGGUCUGAGAGGACGACCAGCCACACUGGGACUGAGACACGGCCCAGACUCCUACGGGAGGCAGCAGUGGGGAAUUUUGGACAAUGGGCGCAAGCCUGAUCCAGCAAUGCCGCGUGCAGGAAGAAGGCCUUCGGGUUGUAAACUGCUUUUGUACGGAACGAAACGGCUCUGGUUAAUACCUGGGGCUAAUGACGGUACCGUAAGAAUAAGCACCGGCUAACUACGUGCCAGCAGCCGCAGUAACAC
rnacentral:rRNA from 1 species